ensembl:lncRNA
CCGCUGUCAGAAGGGAAACAGGCGCCCGCUCCAAACAGGAGACCGUGAUGCCAACACAAGCCCCUCCCCUUUUACAGCAGGCAGCAGUCUGACGGGGUGUCCCUUUAAGAACAUCCCAGGUGAAGGUGUGUGUGUGUGUGUGUGAGGGGCGGACGAAAAACCGGAUUUCCCAUCCAUCAUCAGCAUCGUCUCCGCACAACCCUUGAUGUCCUCAGACAGGAAGCACCCGCGCACCUUCUGCCCCCUUCUCCUGUCCCGUGUUGUUUGUUUUCCCGUUUCCGCCGCCGUCGCAAAGCGGUACGAUCCCCCGGGGGCGCGGCUGAGGUGCUCCUCUCGAGGCGCGCGGUACAAGUGGGCACCCAGGGCAGGUGGGCACCCACACCGACAAAUCCUGGGCGUCCCGUCUCCCGUAGCCUCCGUGACAGCUCCCUCCGCGGCUUCCCCCCGUCCCCCACUUCCUGCGGCGGCGGCGGAGGCUGCGGUGACGAAGCACUUCCUCAGCAUCUGUUGGUAGCUAGCAUCGCGCCUGUUACUCUGCCCUUGGCACCGUGCCAUCCCCCCCCCCUGAGGGACUCCUAUUACCAGGAGGAACAACACAGACAUCCAAGGAAUCUCCCGUUCACCGUAUGGAGGUUCGCGUCGUCGUCGUUUUUUUGGUCAAAUCGUUGGCAAAACGCCACCGUUCUCCGCGCGCCCUCGACGGCAAUUACACCUCGCAAACAAACAAAAUGCCACCACAGAAUCGCUGGCACCCGUCGGCCCCCUUGGCACCCCGUCCCCGGGCUUUGUCCGAUGCCAACGAAACGGCGAUUAGCCACAAAUCCUCCCGAGGUGCGCGCCCUGGUCCCGGGCGGCGGCUCGCGCCUCCACGCGGCGCUUUGUCUGGCUGCUGGCUCGCCCUGGCGUCGGGCCGGGGGGGCUGGCACGGCGCCCGCCAGCUGGCACCCAUGAUGGGGUAACAUGGAAGGCGCUGGGGGCAGGGGGGGGGUCCAAACAAACAGCCGCUCCCCUCCCGGUUGAUGAACGGCCGCCGCCGCCGCCGCCGCGUCCCGAUGCCGUCGGCUGUGGUCGUUGUUUAAAUAAAUCCUGGAGCUCCGCGGUCCCCGUGUGGCAUGGCGCGGCCCCCCGCCGCCUCCCGCUCCGUCUCCAUCGUCCCCUCGCCGCCUUCGGUCCGACUCCUCUUCUGGUCGUCCUCCGCCGCCGUGGACCCCCCCCCCCCACCCUCAGGCUCCGGUGCCUCCCCCUGGCGCCGUCGCCCGCAGGAGCCCGCUGGAGCCCGCUGGAGCCGUG